UACGGGGGGAGCAAGCGUUGUUCGGAUUUACUGGGCGUAAAGCGUGCGUAGACGGUUAUUUAAGUCGGGUGUGAAAGCCCCGGGCUCAACCUGGGAAUUGCAUUCGAGACUGAAUAGCUAGGGUACGGUAGAGGGAAGCGGAAUUUCCGGUGUAGCGGUGAAAUGCGUAGAUAUCGGAAGGAACAUCAGUGGCGAAAGCGGCUUCCUGGACCAGUACCGACGUUCAGGCACGAAAGCGUGGGGAGCAAACAGG
rnacentral:rRNA from 1 species